AUAAAUAAAAUUUUUUGAUUUAGUAUAAAAAAAUUUUUUUCUGGGUUGUGAUUAAAAAAAAAAUUUUUUUCUAUUUUUGGGUUUAAGGGUAAAAAAAACUGGGGUUAGACACCUACUAUGUAUCACUUAAAUUAAUUGAGGUAUUAAAAGAUAAAGUCUUUAAACUUAAAAAACAUGGCAGUAUUUUACCCCCUGCAGAGGAAUUUGAAUAUUUAAAUGAUAGUCCUCAUUAAUUUUAACUUUAAUUUAUUUUGUGUGUGGUUGUUAAAAUAAAUAUUUAAUUAUGCGUUGUAAAUCAGAUUACAUGUAGAGAUAUUUAAGAAUAUUUUAAUUACAAAUUAUUAUAAUUAUAGGAUUUGCAUGUAAUAAAAUAUUAAAUAUUUUUAUGGUGAGGUUAUAAAAUGUGUACAUAUUGUCCGUCACUCUCUCU
rnacentral:rRNA from 1 species